rnacentral:tRNA from 1 species
GGACAGUGGCUCAGUGGGAGAGCAUCUGCUUUUCAUGCAGAAGGUCCCAGGUUCAGUCCUCAGCACCUCCA